GUAGUCCACGCCCUAAACGAUGUCUACUAGUUGUCGGGUCUUAAUUGACUUGGUAACGCAGCUAACGCGUGAAGUAGACCGCCUGGGGAGUACGGUCGCAAGAUUAAAACUCAAAGGAAUUGACGGGGACCCGCACAAGCGGUGGAUGAUGUGGAUUAAUUCGAUGCAACGCGAAAAACCUUACCUACCCUUGACAUGUACGGAAGCCUGAAGAGAUUCGGGUGUGCUCGAAAGAGAGCCGUAACACAGGUGCUGCAUGGCUGUCGUCAGCUCGUGUCGUGAGAUGUUGGGUUAAGUCCCGCAACGAGCGCAACCCUUGUCAUUAGUUGCUACGCAAGAGCACUCUAAUGAGACUGCCGGUGACAAACCGGA
rnacentral:rRNA from 1 species